ensembl:misc_RNA
UCUAUGGCAAAUCUAUCUAAAAAUUGUAAAUGUAAAUAUUCUCUUCAUCAAUUUUCAGUGAGAAAUGAACACUUGAGUUAAACUCUUUUUCAUGAGGAAGGAUGCUAAUACAAAU